AGGGAAGAAAAGCCACACAGGAAGCAGAACCAAGCAAAGCAUUUUGCUAGAAGAGACAGGGAUGAGAGAUGGAUACACAAAAAGCUCCUGCCAAAGGGGGAUUUCACAAGUGACUGCAUGAUCAAUCCAGAUGGAAUUUUUGCUUUACCAAAAGCCACACCCAUGGUGUGUGGGAGGGAUGCUGGUGAAAGAGACUUCCUCAUACAAUCUGCUGUGCCCUCAUUUUUACCAGGGUUCUGUCAACACAGGAGAAAAGAACUAGGGGGAAAUACCUGUAGGAAAAUGGUUAUAUACUUGCUGUCAAGAAGACAUUACUGCAACCAAAGUCAAAGAAAGAUUCAUUGCAGGUGUGAGAGAAUGUUGGGAGGACUGAAGACUGUAAAAUGGGAGGAGAGAUGAAGAUGUGGACAGUUUUAUUUCCUGACGGUUGCUCUCCAUUCUAACUUGUGCCUCUCCAUAGCAAUGCAGGGCGACUGUCUUCCAGAUGAAAAUCUCUCGCACUCAGAGCUGAUGUCUCGUGUCCACAAAGGACCUCUGUACAUACUUAUGACAGCUGUUAUAUGCAUUUCUGAAUUAAUAUAUGCAAAGUACUUGGAAACCUGAC
ensembl:lncRNA